UAGACGAGAUGACCACUAGAAGAAAUAAUUUUACAGUUAUCACUUUGAAUAAAUGGUAAUGCUCCAAAUUAUCUUUUCGGAUAGAGCUAUUAAGCAUAGUAUGAAAUAUAUGAAUGGACUGGUCUUAUUUUGACCAUGAGUAAUCGUGAUGGUCUUUUUAUGGGUCGUAUAAUGAUAGAGGACAGUUGGGGCAUUGUAUUUAUCGUCAGAGUGAAAUUCUAGGAUGAUUAAAGACAAACGAAUGCGAAAGCAUUGCCAAGGAUGUUUUCAUUAAUCAAGAACGAAAGUAGGGGGAUCGAAGAUGAUCAGAUACCGUCGUAGUCUCUACCAUAAACGAUGCCGACCAUGGGUUUUUACAUAUUAGAUCGUUUCGAAUAAUAGUAAAAGAAGGUGAUGAGAAAUCAUUGAGUUGUUGGGUUCUGGGGGGAGUAUGGUCGCAAGGCUGAAACUUAAAGGAAUUGACGGAAGGGCACCACCAGGCGUGGAAUGUGCGGCUUAAUUUGACUCAACACGGGAAAACUUACCAGGUCCAGAUACAAUAAGGAUUGACAGAUUGAGAGAUCUUUCUAGAUUAUGUAGAAGGUGGUGCAUGGCCGUUCUUAGUUGGUGGAGUGAUUUGUCAGGUUAAUUCCGUUAACGAACGAGAUGACCAUUAUUAAUUUUGGGUAGGUUCUCACCCGUUGAGAGCUUAAUCUCUAAAUUAAGAGACAACUCAUG
rnacentral:rRNA from 1 species